CUAAUUGAUGUAUGUAGAAGAGAAGAGAACUAAAAGGCGACCAAUAAUAGGAAAGAUGAAGGGAAGCAAGUGGAUCAUCUGGAGCAGCAUAAAAGCGGUGAUGCACAGAAAAAAAGUAAGGAAAGGGCAGGAGACAUAAGUGUAUGGGAUUAGAGCAGAUGGGCGGUGAGUUAUCAUUAUUUUCGAAAAAAUCCACCCCCUUUCCUUCCUAUAUAAGGUCAUUGGAGUACUCAGAAGAGGAGAGGUCUGAGUUUUGAGAACAUGAAAGAGAGAAGUGAGUUCGAUGCUGAGAAAACCAGUCCGAGUUUCAGAGGGAUAGAUUUUUGGGAAAGGAGUCUGAGUUUGGAAAGAGCAAUAGAGUUGAGAAAGCGAUAAAAAUUUGAGAGACCAUAGAGAACGAUUGAGAGGCAGAGGUGAACAAAGAUUCAAAGGUGUGAUUUGACAGAGUAGGAGUCGAAGCUUCCAUUCACUACAGCAGAUAUGGGUGGAAGGACUACAUUCCAAAGUGAAACGUUUGCAUGUGGUGAGAAUUUGGCUUGUUAUGCCACAUAUCAUGGCUGAUGUUGUCUAUGCCGCGGUGUAUGUACUAAAAAGUAACUUCUUAAGUCAUGAAUUAGGUUGAAUUUUAGAGAGGUAAAAGGGAGAAAGCAUAAAGGGAGAGGAAAAAGAAGCAUUCUUCAGCUAGCACAAGCUAUGGUUGGAGCUUGGGUGAGAUUUUUUACUAGUAACUUAUCAGAUUGGCAUAGUUCAAGUGUAGAGUUGAGAGAGAACUUGGUAGAGACGAGUAGCGGUUGAGAAAGUACCAUAGGCCUUUUUAGUGACAAAAGGGUUGAGGUCCAGGCGAAGGAACCAUGGUAGAUAGGGAAACGAGUAGAGCUAGAGGUUGUUUGUAGAUUAUAAAGAACUGCAACCCCUUUCUUUUGAGCAAAUCUAUUAUAAUGUAUUUGGAAUUAGGGUGCCAAUAGGAUGUGAUUAUGUAAAUAUGUGUGUGAAUAUAUGUGGAUUGUAUGGAUUUGUAUGAAUUUUUGUCUGCUUAUAGACUUAUGGCUAGGAAACUUGAUUAUGGUGUGUGAUUUUGAUGGAUUUAUUUAGUAGACCAAGUUUCUACUACAAGUAGAUAUUUAUUUUGAUAUAUAUGUGAUUCUACAAACAAAUGCAAAGUGAUUACAUUGCAAAUGGUGU